rnacentral:rRNA from 1 species
AGCUCCAAUAGCGUAUAUUAAAGUUGUUGCAGUUAAAAAGCUCGUAGUUGGAUUUCUGGUAGGAGUGACCGUUCCGGGCUUGAUUGUCCGUGUAUUGUGUUGCCUCCAGCCAUCCUCGUGGAGAACUUUUCUAGUAUUAAUUUGUUGGGAUUGGGACCCGCGUCGUUUACUGUGAAAAAAUUAGAGUGUUUAAAGCAGGCAAUAGCUUGAAUACAUUAGCAUGGAAUAAUAAGAUAGGACUUUGGUACUAUUUUGUUGGUUUGCAUACCAAAUUAAUGAUCAACAGGAACAGUUGUGGAUAUUCGUAUGAACAUGUCAGAGGUGAAAUUCUUGGAUUUUGAUCAGACGAACUACUGCGAAAGCAUUUAUCAAGGAUGUUUUCAUUAAUCAAGAACGAAAG